AGCAGCCGCGGUAAUUCCAGCUCCAAUAGCGUAUAUUAAAGUUGUUGCAGUUAAAAAGCUCGUAGUUGAAUUUCGGGAUCAGCAGGUCGGUCGUGCCACUGGUAUGCACUGGCCUUGCUGAUUCCUCCCUCUUGAUGAGCCGUAAUGCCAUUAAUUUGGUGUUGCGGGGAAUCAGGACUGUUACUUUGAAAAAUUAGAGUGUUUAAAGCAGGCAAGCGCUUGAAUACAUUAGCAUGGAAUAAUGAAAUAGGACGUUCGAUCCUAUUUUGUUGGUUUCUAGGAUUGACGUAAUGAUUAAUAGGGAUAGUUGGGGGCAUUAGUAUUCAAUUGUCAGAGGUGAAAUUCUUGGAUUUAUUGAAGACUAACUACUGCGAAAGCAUUUGCCAAGGAUGUUUUCAUUAAUCAAGAACGAAAGUUAGGGGAUCGAAGACGAUCAGAUACCGUCGUAGUCUUAACCAUAAACUAUGCCGACUAGGGAUCGGAUGAUGUUAAUUUUUAAUGACU
rnacentral:sRNA from 1 species